AGGUUAAGUUAAUAAGGGCGCACGGUGGAUGCCUUGGCACUAGAAGCCGAUGAAGGACGUGACUAACGACGAAAUGCUUUGGGGAGCUGUAAGUGAGCAAUGAUCCAGAGAUGUCCGAAUGGGGGAACCCGGCAGGUAAUGCCUGUCACUCAUUACUGUUAAGGUAAUGUAGAGGAAGACGCAGUGAACUGAAACAUCUAAGUAGCUGUAGGAAGAGAAAGCAAAAGCGAUUGCCUUAGUAGCGGCGAGCGAAACGGCAAGAGGGCAAACCGAAGAGUUUACUCUUCGGGGUUGUAGGACUGCAACGUGGACUUAAAGAUUAUAGAAGAACUACCUGGGAAGGUAGGCCAAAGAGAGUAAUAGCCUCGUAUUCGAAAUAGUCUUUAUACCUAGCAGUAUCCUGAGUACGGCGAGACACGAGAAAUCUCGUCGGAAUCUGGGAGGACCAUCUCCCAACCCNAGCCCGUUAAUGGGUGAGAGCGUGCCUUUUGUAGAAUGAACCGGCGAGUUACGAUAUGAUGCGAGGUUAAGUUGAAGAGACGGAGCCGUAGGGAAACCGAGUCUUAAUAGGGCGCAUUAGUAUCAUGUCGUAGACCCGAAACCAUGUGACCUACCCAUGAGCAGGUUGAAGGUGAGGUAAAACUCACUGGAGGACCGAACCAGGGCACGUUGAAAAGUGCUUGGAUGACUUGUGGGUAGCGGAGAAAUUCCAAACGAACUUGGAGAUAGCUGGUUCUCUCCGAAAUAGCUUUAGGGCUAGCGUCGAUGUUAAGUCUCUUGGAGGUAGAGCACUGUUUGGGUGAGGGGUCCAUCCCGGAUUACCAAUCUCAGAUAAACUCCGAAUGCCAAUGAGAUAUAAUCGGCAGUCAGACUGCGAGUGCUAAGAUCCGUAGUCGAAAGGGAAACAGCCCAGACCACCAGCUAAGGUCCCAAAAUAUAUGUUAAGUGGAAAAGGAUGUGGGGUUGCACAGACAACUAGGAUGUUAGCUUAGAAGCAGCUAUUCAUUCAAAGAGUGCGUAAUAGCUCACUAGUCGAGUGACCCUGCGCCGAAAAUGUACCGGGGCUAAAACAUAUUACCGAAGCUGUGGAUACCUUUAUAGGUAUGGUAGGAGAGCGUUCUAUGUGCGAAGAAGGUGUACCGUGAGGAGUGCUGGAGCGCAUAGAAGUGAGAAUGCCGGUAUGAGUAGCGAAAGACAGGUGAGAAUCCUGUCCACCGUAAGACUAAGGUUUCCAGGGGAAGGCUCGUCCGCCCUGGGUUAGUCGGGACCUAAGGAGAGACCGAAAGGUGUAUCCGAUGGACAACAGGUUGAUAUUCCUGUACUAGAGUAUAUAGUGAUGGAGGGACGCAGUAGGCUAACUAAACCAGACGAUUGGAAGUGUCUGGCCAAGCAGUGAGGUGUGAUAUGAGUCAAAUGCUUAUAUCUUUAACAUUGAGCUGUGAUGGGGAGCGAAGUUUAGUAGCGAAGUUAGUGAUGUCACACUGCCGAGAAAAGCUUCUAGCGUUAAUUAUACUCUACCCGUACCGCAAACCGACACAGGUAGUCGAGGCGAGUAGCCUCAGGUGAGCGAGAGAACUCUCGUUAAGGAACUCGGCAAAAUGGCCCCGUAACUUCGGGAGAAGGGGCGCUGACUGAUGGUCAGCCGCAGUGAAUAGGCCCAAGCAACUGUUUAUCAAAAACACAGCUCUCUGCUAAAUCGUAAGAUGAUGUAUAGGGGGUGACGCCUGCCCGGUGCUGGAAGGUUAAGAGGAGUGCUUAGCGUAAGCGAAGGCAUGAAUUGAAGCCCCAGUAAACGGCGGCCGUAACUAUAACGGUCCUAAGGUAGCGAAAUNGAAAUUUUAGUACCUGUGAAGAUGCAGGUUACCCGCGACAGGACGGAAAGACCCCAUGGAGCUUUACUGCAGUUUGAUAUUGAGUAUCUGUACCACAUGUACAGGAUAGGUAGGAGCCUAUGACCUCGGGACGCCAGUUUCGAGUGAGGCGUUGUUGGGAUACUACCCUUGUGUUAUGGCUACUCUAACCCAGAUAGGUUAUCCCUAUCGGAGACAGUGUCUGACGGGCAGUUUGACUGGGNUACAACUCGAGCAGGGACGAAAGUCGGGCUUAGUGAUCCGGUGGUUCCGUAUGGAAGGGCCAUCGCUCAACGGAUAAAAGCUACCCUGGGGAUAACAGGCUUAUCUCCCCCAAGAGUUCACAUCGACGGGGAGGUUUGGCACCUCGAUGUCGGCUCGUCGCAUCCUGGGGCUGUAGUCGGUCCCAAGGGUUGGGCUGUUCGCCCAUUAAAGCGGCACGCGAGCUGGGUUCAGAACGUCGUGAGACAGUUCGGUCCCUAUCCGUCGCGGGCGUAGGAAAUUUGAGAGGAUCUGCUCCUAGUACGAGAGGACCAGAGUGGACUUACCGCUGGUGUACCAGUUGUUCUGCCAAGAGCAUCGCUGGGUAGCUAUGUAGGGAAGGGAUAAACGCUGAAAGCAUCUAAGUGUGAAGCCCACCUCAAGAUGAGAUUUCCCAUGAUUUUAUAUCAGUAAGAGCCCUGAGAGAUGAUCAGGUUGAUAGGUUAGAAGUGGAAGUGUGGUGACACAUGUAGCGGACUAAUACUAAUAGCUCGAGGACUUAUCCAA
rnacentral:rRNA from 1 species